UUCGCAAUGCCCGAAAGGGUGACGAUGCGACGCCGCAUGAGCGAAGAAGGCCCUAGGGUUGUAAAGCUCUGUCGAGGGUUAUGAAAUAUAGAUGGGUUAAUACCCCAUUUAUUUGACAAAGGCCCAAAAGGAAGCCACGGCUAACUCUGUGCCAGCAGCCGCGGUAAUACAGAGGUGGCAAGCGUUGUUCGGAAUUAUUGGGCGUAAAGAGCACGUAGGUGGUUUUGUAAGUCAGGUGUGAAAGCCUUCUGUUCAAAGGAAGAACGGCAUCUGAAACUGCAGAUCUUGAGUGUAGGAGGGGAGAGUGGAACUUCUGGUGGAGCGGUGAAAUGCGUAGAUAUCAGAAGGAACGUCGGCGGCGAAAGCGACUCUCUGGCCUAUUACUGACACUGAGUGUGCGAAAGUUAGGGGAGCAAACGGGAUUAGAUACCCCGGUAGUCCUAGCCGUAAACGAUGGGCACUAAGUAGAGGGGUUUU
rnacentral:rRNA from 1 species